UUUGAAACCUAUAAAUGCUAUUUUAAUCCUUAGAGACAAUGCAUCGGACAGCUGGCGUGCAUGAUAAACAAUCCCGAUGCUGCGAUAUCGAUGCAAAUGAUAACUUUGUAAACCUCUUCCUAAAAUCCAAAGGAACGAAUUUCAUAUUAGAAGGUUUGAUUAAAAAAAAAAAAUCAUAGAAAGAGAGAGAGAAAGGGAGAGAGCUUAGACUGUCAAUGAUGGAGUCGAAUUGGACGUUAAAGGCGAUAGAGAGGGAGGAGGUUUGAGAGGAGGUGAGGAAGCAAGCUAUGCAACCAUAGCACACAAAGAGGAGGCCAUGGCAAGGGAUAAUUUAAGAGUCGUAGUGAUUUGUGAAGCUUCUCAGCGUAGUAGCGAAACCUCUAGCAACAUAUACCACAUCCACUAGAAAUGACACGAUUACUAACUCCUCUAUUUAGGAGGGGGGGAAGAGAGAGGAUGUAACUAUCCAGCCCACUACCAAUAAUAACUCGUUGGACCCAAAUCACCGACCCAAAAUACUUAAGCUAGUUAUUAUUACUAGGGUGGAGUCCUCUUGUGUGCCCAAUAACAAUCCCAUUCUUAUCCGAUGUUGAACUAUUAAGGUGUCAUAGAGGAAGAAGAAGAGGAAACAAAAAAGUUUAAGAUAAAAAAGGGUGAUUAGGAUUUUGGAAAGAGAUGAGGGUGUGUAUGAUAAUUGAGAGAUGAGGAGAGGUGAGAGGGUGCACAUUUUGUAAAAAUAUGAAGGGAGGUAAAGAGAUGUAUAAUUUAGAAAAUAUAAAGGGAGGUGAAGGAGGAUUUGAAAAAAGAUCAAUGGGGUGUACGUUUUGGAACCAGAUAAAAUAAUAUAAGGGGUGUACGGUGAGGGGGGAUGGGAUGGUACUAAAAGAAAAUCUAGUUUGGUAUGGAUGGAUUCGGUUCGGUUUGGUUCAAGAAAAGUGAGAAGGUGAAAAGGUGUAAAUAGAAAAUCCGGUUCAAAAGCGAAGAAAUAUUACUAGACCAAACCCUAGAAUAAAGAGAAAAGAAAAAUCGGA
rnacentral:lncRNA from 1 species